CUGACUUUGACUAUGGAUAUGUGCAACACAUUUCUGAACUGAAUGGAUGUAUAUUCUUAGAUGUCGACAGGUGCUCUUUAAAAAUCUCUCAUCAAGUGCCUAGCCAAGGUCAAAGGUUUUAGAGUUGGGAGAAUCUGCAAAGCAGUUAGAAUAAAACAGUAAGUGGCUGAUCUCCAUUUAGCUGUUAAUUACUGUUAGGAGGUGGUAUGUGUAUGUUAGGAG
rnacentral:misc_RNA from 1 species